ensembl:lncRNA SNAP25-AS1 SNAP25 antisense RNA 1
AGUUGACGUGGAGCAGGCGGCAUAAAUCAAGUCCGCGGGGCAUGGAGGCUGCUGUCGCUGCAGCAGCUCAGCUUGCCCGGGGCGGGAACUCCCCCUUUCUCCUUUCGCCUCCCCAGCACCCACACCCUGUCUCCCCCUUAAUUCUUCCCUGGAUAAUAGCACCCUAACGACAACAGUCAUAAUAAUAGGGUUAGAACGACAGGGGAGGAAAACUCAACAGCCUAAAUAUCUCUGAAAACUGCAUCGCAAAAUGGAAGAAAGAGGGGGUCCCACUACUGUUUCAAAAGAGUAAGUUAUUAUUCGGAUCGACAGAACUUGACUUAGAAAGCUGGCACACAGCUUCACGGAAGCAGCUUCUAGAGGAAUGCUAUCCAACAUAACUUUCUGUGAUGACAGAAAUGUACUACAGCUGCCUUGUCCAAUAAGGAGCCAUGGAAGUCAAAUGCUGAGGAUGGUGGCAUCAUAGGAUGAAUGGAGCUGGGUUCUUGAAACACUGCCUGGAGGAAAGACAGCAAAAAUGCCUCAUGAAUCCAACUGGACUGUUAGGAUGCUCACCCUUGGAGACCAGCAACAAUGUGUGCAGAAACCCAGGCCAUGUGGAGAGGCCCCACAUACGUGUCCAACUGAGGUCCCAGCUGACAGCUGGCAUUGACAUAAUGUUCACUCUGGGGGAAGCCAGCUGCCACGCUGUAAGGACACUCGGGCAGUCCUAUGAAGAGGCCCGUGUGGUGAGAAAGAGAGGCCUCCAGCCAACAGCCAUAGAUGGGGUCUUGCUAUGUUUCCCAGUUGGAGUGCAGUGAUUAUUCACAGACAUGAUCCCACUACUGAUCAGCAUGGGAGUUUUCACCUGCUCCAUUUCCCACCUGGGAGGUCAUCAUAUUGAUGGCGAGCUAAGUGUGGACACCUGAUCAGCAUAGCACAGUACAGCCCAGAACCCCUGGGCUCCAGUGAUCCUCUUACUUCAGCCUCUUGAGUAGCUGGAACUACAGGCCUGCACCACUGCACCCGGCUAGUUUGUUUUUGUUAGAGUUUUGUCUCUAGGAUUUUCCUCAGCUGAGUAUGUGAAGGCUAACUUCUCCUUGUGAAUCUGCAAAUAUCCUUAUUUUACCCUUUAUUUUACCAUGUAUCAUUUACAGGUAAAUGAUAUCUUAGCUGUGUAUUGAAUUUCUGUUUUUUGUUUUUUCUUCAGUACUCUAUAAAUAUUACUCCAGUAUCUUCUAGCUUCUCCCAUUUUCUCCUAGUGAAUGGUUAUUCUGCUCUUAUCUAGCAGGUGAUAAAUCUGUCAACAGAUAGUUUUUCCUUUUUGUUUUAUGUGUAAGUUGUUAUUUCUUCCUUAAAGUUCAUAAUCUUUUCCCAUUUAUUCUCUAAAUUUUAGACUAUAACCAGGAUGUGUUUAGGUUGAUAUCUUUGCUUAUCUAUUCUGCCUGGAAAUCAGGAACCUCUUCCAAUAUUCAGACUUGUGUUUUCAGCUCAGAAUAAUUAUUUUAUCAUUUGUUUGAUUAUUCCUUUAGUUGCACUGGAUCUUAGUUAAAAUGCCCAUUCUGAUUCAAAGUAUCUGGAAGGCAAGUAUUUGUCAACUAAGGGAAAGGUGACCAUGCAUCAUUGGUUUUGCUGAGACUACCUGGUUUACACCUUCAGGCUUUAUACUUAGAAAAUAUUGCGAUCAUCUUCUGGUCAUGAAGUUACAAACUUCAGGACAAAGGCUAACCAGCUAAGACUAGCAGAGCAAAUUCCAAGAACUUGGGGCUUUAAUUAACUUGAAUUGAUUUGGACUUGCCCUACCUUUAACUUCACACUGAGAUAAAAAUUCCCCACAUUUUCAAGCCAUUUUUGAGAUGAGUCUCUUAUGGUUGAAAGCAUCCUAAUUUAUACAACAUCCUUUUGGUACCUAACUAAAUAUUCACCAAUAUUUGGCACAUUUGUUAAAUCUUUUGGUGUGUGCCUCUUCUAUGUAAUGUAAAUAUGGUCUGAAUAUCCAUUCAGAAAUUAUAGUUGAUUUGCAAAAAUAACUACUAUAUCACCUAUAUUAAUUGAUAGUUAUUCCUUCCCAACCUUCUUUCACUCUUCCAUAUAUAUACAGAGUAAAUCUACAUCAUUAUGUUGAUUAAACAAAAUAGCAGUGAAAUCAGGAUGUUACUGCUCAUUGUGCAUUUAUUUCAAUUAUGGAAAAAGCCAACACUUUACUCCCUUAUUUAACACUUCUGUAGAAAAGCAGUUGAAAUAACCUAGUGUCAUUCUAAAAUGAUUUGUAUACUAUGUAGACCAGAAUCUAGGGCUAUACCUAAAAAUACAUAAAUGAAAUUAUUCUAGAAGUUAAAUCUUCAUGAAAAAACAAAUUAAAUGGUUUACUAACCUCAAGCUGAUUAAAUGUUUUUAUUAAAUGCAGCCUCAGCCAGCACCUCUUUUCAUGGCUGCAAUAAUUAAGUAUAAUAAAUAUUCAAAUCAGUAAUUGAAUUUGUUAAAAAAAACAUGCUCAGCUCAGUGAAGACUUUCUAAUAAAUAGAAUUCAGGUACCAUAUUUUCAUACUUCAUGACACUUGCCUCAUCUUAGUUUGAUGACUGCCGUUUCUUGCACUGUAACAAGAUUUUAUUUUUAUUUUGUUUUACGCUAUUCAAACAAAUACAUUCAAAGUCAUAGGCUACACCUAUGUAUAACCAUAUUCUGAGAGUUGGCUUAUGUGUUUGUUUAUUUUCUCACAAUUAAAGAUAGGUCAGAUGUUGCCAAAUUAGUAAAUAACUAAACUUGAGAUGGGAAAUACUCUAGAGACACAAUCUGCUUAGUUUUGCAUAGUUUUGCAUAGUUUUAGUCACUUUUCCCGUUACUCUGUCCAGCUUUCCAGUAAUACUCAUAACAUUGCCUUGAUUUCAUAUGACCACGCAGUAAAGUGAUUACUGCACUUAGAAUUUUGUUGCUUUUGCUGUGCUAACAACUUAAAAGUUUAAAAUAACUGAUGUUCAAAACAGUGAAGAUUUCCUUUUAUAAACAAGUUGGAAAGGAAAGUUUUUAUGUUAUUAUCCUCAAGUAUUCUAACUAAUAUAAAAUGUCUUUCAGUCUUUUAGGCAAACCAUUUAGACAAAAAGUACAAAUAAUAAAUUUACAUUGUGUUAAGCUGCGAUCAUAUUUCUUUCUCUUGAUUUACUUUUGAAAUUUUCCUUAUGCACCUGGUGAUACUGAAAGAUGAGUCAAAUAGUGUAAUACAAUAGGGCAAUAUGAACUUCUGUUGUAGUUUCCAUUAGUUGCAUCAAUUCAAAUUGCACCUGGAAAAGAUCUAAGCACGACAUAAAGCCAAGACAGCACAUAAGGGUGAUGGCAAACAAUAAUAAUAUUUACAUCUUUUUUUUUUUUUUUU